UCUCAUGGAUUAUCCUGGCCAAGAUUUUGCUAAAUUGAAAUACACUGAUGCAUAUCUCUUACCAAUUCAGAGGAGUCAAUUCCAUCUUGACUCACAUACCAAUUUGAUAAGUACUUGACUGCAUCUAGUAUCCUUCCAUUAUUAAGUUAGAAACUCAGAUAGUCUAAUACUAAAGUACAGUGAGUUGCUUACAAGUCACCGUGGUGGUCUC
rnacentral:lncRNA from 1 species